AGUCAGAGUGUGAGUUCCCUAAAUCUUCAGCUUGAUCAGAGUGGUAACUAUACAGAAUAAAUUCUGACAACUGAAAUGAAGAAGUAUUUGGAAAAUAACAUGAAGCAGAAACUGCUGUUUGUUCUGGGAAUCUUUAUUCUGCUGAUGCUUUAUUCCAAUACAGGGAUAGCAAACCACAGGCUGAAGAUUCUCUAUUUCUUCACUUCAUAUGUGUGCCCUGCUCUGACUUCUACAUGCUGCUGUUUUGCCAACUCAACUCUGCUAAAAUUCUAAAAUUUGAGUUAUGGUCCCAGAUAAGUCACAAGGAAAAUUAAGAGCCGUCAAUAUGAUCACUUUGGAACUACUGUUGUCACAUUUACAAAUGACCUACCUAGCAUGGAAGUUCAGAAUGAGCUUGUGAGAAAGGAUCUCUGCGACACAAUGGAAGAGUCCUGACGGAUGCAAAAAUAAUCCAGAGGGAGAAUAAACUCAAGUCAAGUUCACAAAUUCAAGUCAAGCUAUAAGACACGGUUUUGGAGCUAUCAGACAAUUUAUUUAUGUGCACUUUCUUAAAGGGACAAUUUAGUAAAAUUAAACUUUCAUGAUUGAGAUAGGGCAUGCCAUUUAAAACAACUUUCCAAUUUACUUUUAUCAUCAAAUUUGUUUUCUUGGUAAUUUUUUGUUCAAAGCUAAACCAAAGUAGGCUCAUAUGCUAAUUUCAAAGCUCUUGAAGGCCUCCUCUUUUCUCAGUGCAUUUGGACAGUUUUUCACAGCUAGAGAGUACUAGUUCACAUGUACCAUAUAGAUAACAUUGCGAUCACUCCAGUGGAGUUAUUUAUGAACCAGCACUGAUUGGCUAAAAUUCAUGUCUGUCAAAAGAACUCAAAUAAAUAAGGGGGCAAAGCCUUAGAUACAAAGUAAUGAAAGAGGUAAAAAGUAUAUUAAUACGUGUUGGUUGUGCAAAACUGGGCAAUGGGUAAUAAAGGGAUUAUCUAUCUAAACAAUAACAUUUUGGAGUAGACUGUCCCUUUUAAGACUACCAAUAGCUGUACCAUACUUUUAUAGAAAUAAGAAAUGUGUGGACUGUUAGCUGUAUUACAUUUUUACAAUAAAAUUUUUUACUGUGGAA